GACAGAGGGUGCAAACGUUGUUCGGAAUUACUGGGCGUAAAGCGCGUGUAGGCGGUUAUGCAAGUCGGGUGUGAAAGCCCGGAGCUCAACUCCGGAAGUGCAUUCGAUACUGCGUAGCUAGAGUACUGGAGAGGAUGGUGGAACUCUCGGUGUAGAGGUGAAAUUCGUAGAUAUCGAGAAGAACACCGGUGGCGAAGGCGGCUUUCUGGGCCUUACCUGACGCUGAGACGCGAAAGCGUGGGGAGCGAACCGG
rnacentral:rRNA from 1 species